UACGGGAGGCAGCAGUGGGGAAUAUUGCACAAUGGGCGAAAGCCUGAUGCAGCGACGCCGCGUGAGGGAAGAAGGUCUUCGGAUUGUAAACCUUUGUCCUAUGGGAAGAUAAUGACGGUACCAUGGGAGGAAGCCACGGCUAACUACGUGCCAGCAGCCGCGGUAAU
rnacentral:rRNA from 1 species